rnacentral:rRNA from 1 species
UACGGAGGGGGAUAGCGUUGUUCGGAAUUACUGGGCGUAAAGCGCACGUAGGCGGCUCUGUAAGUUAGAGGUGAAAGCCCGGGGCUCAACUCCGGAAUUGCCUUUAAGACUGCAUCGCUAGAAUUGUGGAGAGGUAAGUGGAAUUCCGAGUGUAGAGGUGAAAUUCGUAGAUAUUCGGAAGAACACCAGUGGCGAAGGCGACUUACUGGACACAUAUUGACGCUGAGGUGCGAAAGCGUGGGGAGCAAACAGG